UACGGAGGGUGCAAGCGUUGUCCGGAUUUAUUGGGUUUAAAGGGUGCGUAGGCGGCUUUUUAAGUCAGGGGUGAAAGACGGUAGCUUAACUAUCGCAGUGCCCUUGAUACUGAAGAGCUUGAAUGGACUAGAGGUAGGCGGAAUGUGACAAGUAGCGGUGAAAUGCAUAGAUAUGUCACAGAACACCAAUUGCGAAGGCAGCUUACUAUGGUCAAAUUGACGCUGAGGCACGAAAGCGUGGGGAUCAAACAGG
rnacentral:rRNA from 1 species